rnacentral:misc_RNA from 1 species
GAUGAAGAACGUAGCAAAAUGCGAUAAGUAGUGUGAAUUGCAGAAUUCAGUGAAUCAUCGAAUCUUUGAACGCACAUUGCGCCUGCCAGCACUCUGGCAGGCAUGCCUGUUCGAGCGUCAUUUCAACCAUCAAGCCCUAGGCUUGCGUUGGAGCCCUGCGGCUGCCGCAGGCCCCUAAAAGCAGUGGCGGGCUCGCUAUCACACCGAGUGCAGUAGAUUACUCUUCGCUCAGGGCGUGUGGCGGGUUCCAGCCGUGAAACCCCCUACUUCUCAAGGUUGACCUCGGAUCAGGUAGGAAUACCCGCUGAACUUAAGCAUAUCAAUAAGCGGAGGA